rnacentral:pre_miRNA from 1 species
GUAACUCAAAUUUGUAUGCAGUUGGAACAGCGCCCCUAGCGGCAAACGUAGACAAACGUUCCAAAUCCAUACAAAUUUGAUUUG